AACGAACGCUGGCGGCAGGCUUAACACAUGCAAGUCGAACGCCCCGCAAGGGAGUGGCAGACGGGUGAGUAACGCGUGGGAACGUACCUUUCAGUUCGGAAUAACUCAGGGAAACUUGUGCUAAUACCGGAUACGCCCGCAAGGGGAAAGAUUUAUCGCUGAAAGAUCGGCCCGCGUUGGAUUAGCUAGUUGGUGGGGUAAAGGCCUACCAAGGCGACGAUCCAUAGCUGGUCUGAGAGGAUGAUCAGCCACACUGGGACUGAGACACGGCCCAGACUCCUACGGGAGGCAGCAGUGGGGAAUAUUGGACAAUGGGCGCAAGCCUGAUCCAGCCAUGCCGCGUGUGUGAUGAAGGCCUUAGGGUUGUAAAGCACUUUCACCGAUGAAGAUAAUGACGGUAGUCGGAGAAGAAGCCCCGGCUAACUUCGUGCCAGCAGCCGCGGUAAUGUCUGUACU
rnacentral:rRNA from 1 species